rnacentral:rRNA from 1 species
GGUUAAGCGACUAAGCGUACACGGUGGAUGCCCUGGCAGUCAGAGGCGAUGAAGGACGUGCUAAUCUGCGAUAAGCGUCGGUAAGGUGAUAUGAACCGUUAUAACCGGCGAUUUCCGAAUGGGGAAACCCAGUGUGUUUCGACACACUAUCAUUAACUGAAUCCAUAGGUUAAUGAGGCGAACCGGGGGAACUGAAACAUCUAAGUACCCCGAGGAAAAGAAAUCAACCGAGAUUCCCCCAGUAGCGGCGAGCGAACGGGGAGCAGCCCAGAGCCUGAAUCAGUGUGUGUGUUAGUGGAAGCGUCUGGAAAGGCGCGCGAUACAGGGUGACAGCCCCGUACACAAAAAUGCACAUACUGUGAGCUCGAUGAGUAGGGCGGGACACGUGGUAUC